rnacentral:rRNA from 1 species
GACGGAGGGUGCAAGCGUUGUCCGGAAUCAUUGGGCGUAAAGAGUUCGUAGGUGGUAUGUUAAGUCUGGUGUUAAAUCCCGAAGCUCAACUUCGGUUCGGCAUUGGAUACUGGCAAACUUGAAUGCGGUAGAGGUAAAGGGAAUUCCUGGUGUAGCGGUGAAAUGCGUAGAUAACAGGAGGAACAUCGGUGGCGAAAGCGCUUUACUGGGCCGUCAUUGACACUGAGGAACGAAAGCCGGGGUAGCAAAUGGG